rnacentral:rRNA from 1 species
GACGAACGCUGGCGGCGUGCUUAACACAUGCAAGUCGAACGGAAAGGCCCUGCUUUUGUGGGGUGCUCGAGUGGCGAACGGGUGAGUAACACGUGAGUACCCUGCCCUUGCCUUUGGGAUAACUUCAGGAAACUGGGGCUAAUACCGGAAAGGAGUUCCCGCUGCUUGGUGGGGGUUGGAAGGUUAAGCUGGUUGGGAAUGGAAUCGCGGCCUAUCGGAUUGUUGGUGGGGUAGUGGCUUACCAAGGCUUGGACCGGUAGCCGGCCUGGUGGGAUGACCGGCCACAAUAGGACUGAGAUACGGCCCAGACUCCUACGGGAGGCAAGAGUGGGGAAUAUUGCACAAGGGGCGGAAGCCUGAUGCAGCAACGCCGCGUGCGGGAAGACGGCCAUCCGGUUGUAUACCGCAGUCGCCUGUGACGGAGCGUGAGUGACGGUAAUGGGUAAAGAAGCACCGGCUAACUACGUG